UACGUAGGGGGCUAGCGUUGUUCGGAAUUACUGGGCGUAAAGCGUGCGCAGGCGGCUUCUCAAGUCAGGGGUGAAAGCCCAGAGCUCAACUCUGGAAUUGCCUUUGAGACUGAGUGGCUUGAGUACGGGAGAGGUGAGUGGAAUUCCCAGUGUAGAGGUGAAAUUCGUAGAUAUUGGGAAGAACACCGGUGGCGAAGGCGGCUCACUGGCCCGUAACUGACGCUCAUGCACGACAGCGUGGGGAGCAAACAGG
rnacentral:rRNA from 1 species